rnacentral:lncRNA from 1 species
UGAGUAAGAACAAAGAGAGGGCCCCCUUUUUGCCAGCGUUGGAGAUGCUCGCUCUCUCAUGUACACACAUUUGAAGUCCCUCCCCAGCUGAAAAACCAGAGGGCCCGUGUCUGACCUUAUCUGCAGAUCAGUAUGUUCCCCUUUGAGCUCCUGCACACAUUCAAGCAUUUUUAAUUUGAUUUCUCUAUUCACACAGACACCACGAGAUGAGAGAAGGAUGGAGCUGACAGCUCUCAUAAUCAGCACUCAUUUUCUUUCAUCGGUGUAUCAAAAUUGCAUUUCCAUAUUUCUUUCCAUUAGUAUUUUACUUGUAGUCUCCAAAGGCUCGUGCCGGUGUGAUGGAUUAGGACCAGAUUCAGGAAUUCAGCAGGCACAUACGCUAUGGCCACAAGUAGUGACACUGGAGCCAACUUGCUCGUUCAGCAGAUAAAAGACAACUGUGUGCUUAAGGAGCGCUGAUUAACCGCUCGUUGCUGCGCUGCCUGAGUGACGGGACGGCGGUGGGUGCCUGCACCGAGCCUUGCGGAGAGGCCCUCAGACGUGAUGGUUUGUUUGUGACAAGGACUCCUCACGCCAGGUGACUUCAGACAGCUGCCCAGUGAAGACCACCCCACUACCUGGCGUAAACUUGAACAGCUCCCAUGGAGCAACUGACGAGCAAGCAGCAAGACCAUCGUAGAUCCUUCCUGCACUCCUCAAGUGAUCCUGCAACUUGGGGUGGAGAAACACAAGUGCAGGGAAGGCAAGUGAAGGAGGUUUUUGAAGCAGCACUGGGUAUUGCACCAGUCCAAACAGUUCAUUACGAUGCAGCCACCCCUUCUCCUGUACUGCAGCAUGGUGAGAGCACACAGCUGGGCAGCAGCAGGUAUCCAUUUCAUAGGUACCCUGGUUUGAAGUCCAGUGAAUCAUGUCCACACUAAAUGGGAAAUGGCUAAAAAAAAAAAAACAGAUAAAAUGGAUGGAAGACAAUGCACAGGUUAUUUAAAAAUAUAUGUAUAUUUAUACAGAUAUAUUAUAACGUAUGCUUUUCAGUAGAAUGUCCUUCAGUUUUGUUACUUGUGUCAUUCAGCGCAUCUUUGUGCCAUUAGCCACAGUUUGACUGACUUUGCAGCUUUUCUUUGAACUUCAAGACAUCAACAUGUGAGCCAGGAACUUGGAUCAGCAACGUUAUUGGGGUUACACUUCUGGCAGUACAACAAAUAGAGGCUGGAGGGCUACCACUGGCUGAAAUGAAUGUCUUACGCUGUCUCCCUUUUUAAAAUGUUCUAGAUGUUUAUACCUCAAGGACAUAAUUUAAACGUUCAUUUUAGCCUUCUGCAUUCUAGCAUUUAAACAAGGUGCUGGUAACACCGCUGCCUUGUUUAGAUUAGGGAGAAAUCAAAAAUCUCUUGUAUUUCCUGGCACUGGGAGGGAGGGUCUUUAGACAUCCAAAUAUUGAAGGUGGGGGGAGGCUCAUCUUGGGAUCAGAGGGCAUUCACUUGCAGGUGGAAGAAGCACGCUUAAAAUCUUGUUACCAAAGAAAACCCAGAUUACAUGAACAUAUUUGAUAGAAGAACAAAACUUCUCUUCAAAGCCAUCUAGGAGAGAUUUGAGUCUCGAGUGUUGGCUGGUUAAAUUCGCCUUUAACUCCUUGCUGCUGGGUUUCCUUGCUGGCCUGUGGCAGAUAGGAGGAGGAGGUGGUGCAGCUCCUGGGUGAGCUGUCUGGAGGGACAGAGACAGAAAACACAGCCCUGAGAGCAGCCUCAGCCCCAGGACGGUGGCCGGGACAUAUCAGAGCUGUCUGGAGAAAGAAAAAGAAAGCAGCGACAGAAAAGGAGGGAUCCUAACGGGAUCUCCUCCAAAAGACACCGCAAAAAAAAAUCAAAACGAACAAAAAAGAGGGAGAAACCAGAAGCUGCUUUCUUCACUACCAUCCUCCGAGUGCCCUGCCUGCAAACAUGACUGACACCACUGGAAAAGAAUGUAAACUUUGAUUUAAAAAAAAAAUAAUAGCGCUUGCUGCCGUUACUUUCUGGCAGCAGAUCGCAUUUCUUUGGAGUAUUUUUAUCUGAUUACGUAUGUAUAUGCAUAUACAUAAAUAUUUUGUUAAAAGCAGGAGGAUGCUCCUCUCCUUCCUCCCCACGCUCGCAGCCGGGGCUGCGCACCGUUCCAGGCGGGCGCCUCCGGCACGCUCCCACGCCGGCGGACGGGCACUGCUGGAGGAAGGGGAGAGCAAAAUGAGAAUUAUAAAAUAGUCGUAAUAACAAUAAAAAUAACAAAUAAGCCGAGUGAGAAAUGGAG